rnacentral:rRNA from 1 species
ACGGGUGAGUAACGCGUGGGAAUCUACCCAUCUCUGCGGAAUAGCUCCGGGAAACUGGAAUUAAUACCGCAUACGCCCUACGGGGGAAAGAUUUAUCGGGGAUGGAUGAGCCCGCGUUGGAUUAGCUAGUUGGUGGGGUAAAGGCCUACCAAGGCGACGAUCCAUAGCUGGUCUGAGAGGAUGAUCAGCCACAUUGGGACUGAGACACGGCCCAAACUCCUACGGGAGGCAGCAGUGGGGAAUAUUGGACAAUGGGCGCAAGCCUGAUCCAGCCAUGCCGCGUGAGUGAUGAAGGCCUUAGGGUUGUAAAGCUCUUUCACCGAUGAAGAUAAUGACGGUAGUCGGAGAAGAAGCCCCGGCUAACUUCGUGCCAGCAGCCGCGGUAAUACGAAGGGGGCUAGCGUUGUUCGGAAUUACUGGGCGUAAAGCGCACGUAGGCGGAUAUUUAAGUCAGGGGUGAAAUCCCGCAGCUCAACUGCGGAACUGCCUUUGAUACUGGGUAUCUUGAGUAUGGAAGAGGUAAGUGGAAUUCCGAGUGUAGAGGUGAAAUUCGUAGA